UCCUCGUAAAACACAAUUCUCAAUUUUUUUUCUCUCUCACCUCUCACACUGGCCGUCAAUCAAGAACCCUGACCUCAGUUCCAUCGCCAUUUUCACAGAUCAUAUAUCUCAUACUCUACAUCACUUCAUCACUCAACACAACACCCAAACACCAUGCCCCAAUCCCUUUUUCUAUGUUCACUCUUACGGCGCAAUUCUCAUCUCUUACGGUGGUUCUCGCGGCCAUAUACGGUGCUUCUCCGAUUUCGAUUUUACCUUCAUUGUUCGAUCUGGACCGUUUUCAGAGAUUUGUUGUAGUCUUUCGCUGAAUUGUCAUCAUAUCCGUUUUCCUGCUUUCACAAACAAACGUCGUCCUCGUUCCUGCCAUUAACAGAUGUAAAACCUCGGUUGGAAAUUUGGUGACGUGAAGCUUUACCAAUCUGGAAAACAUUUCCAACACUUGAUCCACGCACAGGGGAAGUGAUUGCUCACGUUGCUGAAGGUGAUGCUGAAGAUAUUAACCGUGCAGUUUCAGCAGCUUGCGAGGCCUUUCAUAAUGGACCUUGACCUAAAAUGAGUGCUUAUCACAAUGCCGAGAUUGCAGCUCUGGAGGCAUGGAACAAUGGAAAGCUUUAUUAACAGGCUGACAAAGCUAACGUACCUAUGUUUGUGCGUUUAUUUCGUUAUUAUGCUGGAUUAUGGUAUCGAUUUUGACGAUGAUGAUUAGAAUGUGGCGCUGUUUUGGUGCAAAUAUGGCAGUAAAUUUUGCAGCUGUUGCAAAUGCGGCUGUAAAUUAUGUAGGAAUAUAAAGCGCUCAAAUAGUAAGUUUAAUCUUCCUUUCUAUGUAAUGUGCAUAAGUUUGUUUUAUUUUCAACAUGAUUAUUCAAUUCCUACACCGUGGCCUUCUCUACUUCGUUUAAAAAUUCUUUUUGCAUUUUGAAUUUUGGGUUUCAUCCUCCGUCACGUCUUCAUCCCCUCUUCAAUUGUAGAAAUGAUUUAUAGAGAAACACUUUUACAAUUAACUUUCAUUUAAUAUAAGCGCUUAACUAAGUGUGUGAAUAUAAGUUGUUUACAUAAAUGCUCCCUCAAUUGCUUGCUUUUUUGUAGAUAUUGUAAGCUAACUAGUUUUUGCACAUAUCACUAAUAGUCUAUAUAUCACAUAGUUGAUUCUGCUUGAAUGCCAAGAUGUUAGGCAUUAACGAGGCUCAAUUAACAAGACUCUUGAUUGUGUUCUGUGCUUGUUGCAAAUUUAGAGUCUUGUGCUUACAGUUUAGUCAUCAGUGAGUCAUGUCUGUCGUGCUCUAUUCCAUGAAACUUAAUGCAGGAAUAAAAUGUUAUUAAUUUGUUUUACCCUCUCAUAAUGCAUGAAUCAUUAUAUCAUCAAUAACUGGGUGAUUACUAGGCAUUCUCUGCUAAACUAAAUUUGUUGUCAGAUAUCCAUGAUGCUGAUUAGUUGUCCAAGACGUAGGCUAUUGAAUCAGGCCUCUUCUAUUUUCACUUGUGUGUUUACACUAUAUUCUGUUGAGAGUAUACUUGUGAGGGUUAUAAAUGAAUUUUUGUAUUUGUUAGCUUAUUAACUUCCUUUUUGGCAUUAAAAUAUCCAUAUUUGUUUUCAUAUUUUUAAU